AAGAUAUGAUAAUUCAAGAAUAAGCUUCUAACUUAAUUCUUUAGCAGUGAGAUCUGUUAAUAUCUUU
rnacentral:tRNA from 1 species